rnacentral:lncRNA from 1 species
UGUGUCAAGUUGACACAAAACUAGCCAGUACAGGGAGAAAACUUAAUUAUCACUGUAUGUUCUGACUAAGACAGAUACAGUGCAAAAGGGAGUAAGAGGCGGCUCCUGAGAGACAGGAAGAACGGCAGCCACGCUUCUGUGAGCGGCUGCAGCACAGCAUUUGUGGAAUGCCUUGUUAUUCCCUUACCUUCAUCCAGGGGUCGCUGAUGCAUGAGACAUGCUCUUUCCACUUCGGCAAGGGCAGCGUUUUAGAACUUACGUGAGCAUAAAAAGUGUUGGCCAUUCACCUGGUGGAAAGGACUCCAGUGAUUUAAAAAAAAAAAAAAUGAAGUUUCUUUCUGUACAGCUGAACCCACUGCCUUUGUGUACAUCCCCAGAACUCUGUGAAAAUAAAAUCUUACGUAUCUGCAGCAUUUCUUACUUAGUUGCCAGACUUUUUGCAUGUUUAAGCUAAAAUCUUGCUGUAGGAACUUGUACUGGGUAAGAGGCUAUUCAUCUUAACAAAUAAAGCCAUCAUUCAGGAAUGACAGGACAUGGAGCGCCACCGCUUUUCUCCUUGAGCAGCUUUCUCCACCUAUCCAUCACAAUCAGUAUGCAGCUUAACUUCAGGGCGCAGCUAGGGAAGUGGAAGACAUAAGCAGGCUAAUAAAAACUUUGCACAACUGAGAUGGUGCUGGCCACACAAACUUGAGGACCUGAGUUUGAUCCCCCACCCCCCACCCCUCAGAGCCCACAUGAAAUGCUGGAUGUGGUGACUCACAUCUAUAGUCUCAGCACUCCUGUGCAAGACAGGAAGAAGAGAGAGGAGAAUCAGGGAGAAGCUUGCAUGGGCGAGGCAGUGGCAGAAAUGCCUUGUAAACAAGGUAAAAGGACAACAGACUACUGAAAAGUUCUCCUCUGACCUCCACACAUUGCAUUAUAUGCCUCAACUCCUGCGUGAGCGCGCACAGAGAGAGACAGAGACAGAGAGACAGAGAGACAGAGAGACAGAGAGACAGAGAGACAGAGACAGACAGAGAAAGAGAGAGAGGGAGAGAGAGCAAAACUUUCUUCAAAACCUAUCAAGAGCUCAUCUGGGGCUGGAGAGAUGACUUGGUGGUUAAGAGCACUGACUGCUCUUCCAGAGGUCCUGAGUUCAAUUCCCAGCAAUCACAUGGUGGCUCACAACCAUCUGUAAUGGGACCCAAUGCCUUCUUCUGGUAUGUCUGAAGACAGAUACAGUGUAGUCAUAUACACAAAAUAAAUAACCC